rnacentral:rRNA from 1 species
ACUCAAAUGAAUAGACGGGGGCCCGCACAAGCGGUGGAGCAUGUGGUUCAAUUCGAAGCAACGCGCAGAACCUUACCAGCCCUUGACAUGUCCCGUAUGGGUUUCAGAGAUGAGAUCCUUCAGUUCGGCUGGCGGGAACACAGGUGCUGCAUGGCUGUCGUCAGCUCGUGUCGUGAGAUGUUGGGUUAAGUCCCGCAACGAGCGCAACCCUCGCCCUUAGUUGCCACCAUUUAGUUGGGCACUCUAAGGGGACUGCCGGUGAUAAGCCGCGAGGAAGGUGGGGAUGACGUCAAGUCCUCAUGGCCCUUACGGGCUGGGCUACACACGUGCUACAAUGGCGGUGACAGUGAGCAGCUAACUCGCAAGAGUAUGCUAAUCUCAAAAAACCGUCUCAGUUCGGAUUGGGGUCUGCAACUCGACCCCAUGAAGUCGGAAUCGCUAGUAAUCGCAGAUCAGCACGCUGCGGUGAAUACGUUCCCGGGCCUUGUACACACCGCCCGU